GACGAACCGUGCAAACGUUGUUCGGAAUCACUGGGCUUAAAGGGCGCGUAGGCGGGCGGCCAAGUCAGGGGUGAAAUCUUUCGGCUCAACCGGAAAAUUGCCUUUGAUACUGGUUGUCUCGAGGGAGGUAGGGGCAUGUGGAACUUCCGGUGGAGCGGUGAAAUGCGUUGAUAUCGGAAGGAACGCCGGUGGCGAAAGCGACGUGCUGGACCUCUUCUGACGCUGAGGCGCGAAAGCUAGGGGAGCGAACGGG
rnacentral:rRNA from 1 species